ensembl:misc_RNA Metazoa_SRP Metazoan signal recognition particle RNA
GCUGGGUGCGGCGGCACACACCUGUAGUCCCAGCUACUCGUAAGACUGAGCCUGCCAGGUCGCUUGAGCCCAGGAGCUCUGGGCUGCAGUGCACUAUGCCGAGCGGGUGUCCGUGUAAAGGCUGGCAUCAAUAUGGUGAGCCUCGGGGAGCUGGGGCACACCAGGUGACUAAUGAGGGGUGAACUGGCCCAGGUCAGAGAGGGAGCAGGUCAAAGCUCCCAUGCCGGUCAGUAGCGGGAUCAUGCCUGUGAAUAGCCACUGCAGCAUAGCCUGAGCAACACAGAGAGAUGCGGGUUCUAU